rnacentral:rRNA from 1 species
AUUGAACGCUGGCGGCAGGCCUAACACAUGCAAGUCGAGCGGAGCGGCGGACGGGUGAGUAAUGCCUAGGAAUCUGCCUGGUAGUGGGUGAUAACGUCCGGAAACGGGAGCUAAUACCGCAUACUAUCAGAUGAGCCUAGGUCGGUUUAGCUAGUUGGUGGGGUAAAGGCCUACCAAGGCGACGAUCCGUAACUGGUCUGAUAGGAUGAUCAGUCACCUUGGAACGGGGACACGGCCCAGACUCCUACGGGAGGCAGCAGGGGGGAAGAUGUGACAAUGGGCGAAAGCCUGAUCCAGCCAUGCCGAGUGUGUGAAGAAGGCCUUCGGAUUGGAAAGCACUUUAAGUUGUGAUGCGUUACCAACAGAAUAAGCACCGGCUAACUUCGUGCCAGCCGCAGCGGUAAUUC